ACCAUGUCGCUCGGAGACGCGGAAGUCCAGGUCCCCCGGCAGCAGCAGCAGCAGCAGCGUCGCGGCCCCCGCCGGCUGCUCUCCGUCGCGGCGGCGGCGCUGUCCGCAUCGGCGCUGUGCGGCGCCGUGGUGCUGGCGCUGGGUGCGUGGCAGGUCCACGGCGUGCGGGACAGGGUGGAGCGGCUGGAGGGACAGCUGGAGGAGCUCCGUGGUCCCGGUCCCGCGCACGUCCAGAUGCAGAGCGCGUCCACGUCUUCUUACGAGAACUACGCCUACCUGAAGCUCCAGACGGCCAGCCUGAUGGACCAGACCAUGCCCUGGGUGGAGUUCCAGCGCGGCCCGGACCGCUCGGUCGGCGGCAACUUCCGGUACGACGGCGACAUGCGCGUCCUGACCGUCCGGAGGAGCGGCCUGUACUUCCUGCACGUGGCGCUGAACUUCACCUGCGUGGGCGGCUGCUCCGCCGCCGCCGUGUCGGUCACCUUCACCAGCGACAGGCAGGUGCUGGACUGCCGGGUGGACCUGCCGCCGGGCGCGGCCUCCGGCCCGGUGACGCACACCUGCUGGACGCUGCUGAAGCACAUGGACGCCGGCGGCCGGCUGAUCAGCAACAUGUCCGUCAAGCGGGCCGCGCCGGAGGGGACCAUGCUGGGCUGGAGGCUGGUGGAGGAGCGCUGCGAGUUCGGCAUCUUCCUCAUGGAGAGGAAGGACUGAGGAGAGUCCCCGGGGGGGACGAGUCCGAACUCUGAACUCUGAACUCUGAACUCCGAGCUCAACUUUGCACUUUCAACUCAGGGAACAAAUGUCGGUUCCAAUAGCGUGUUAUUUAAGACAAAGAAUGCGUGUGGCGUGAUUGAGUGAGUGAAUGAAUUUCGAUAUAUUAUAUUAUAUUAUAUUAUAUUAUAUUAUACUAUAUCGACUUUGUAAUGUUCUCGGCCAAACGCGUGUUUAUUGGCCGUGUUACGGUAGACGGCGCACUACAGUGGUGAUCUCGCCAUCCCUACGCCACGUGUCCUCCUGGGUGACCGGUGCUGCAGAUUUAGCAGCUCUGCUCUCCGAUUGGCCGAGCAGCCGUCGCCACGCCGACACGGGCCCACUUGGCUCGACGGACCUACACUUCCGAGACUGUAACUGGGCCCUUUUCUCAAGUAUGAAAUAAAUGUCCGUCUGGUGUCCA
rnacentral:lncRNA from 1 species